UACGUAGGUGGCAAGCGUUGUCCGGAUUUACUGGGCGUAAAGAGCGCGCAGGCGGCCAAGUCAGUCGAAUGUGAAAGCCCCCGGCUUAACUGGGGAGGGUCAUUCGAUACUGCUCGGCUCGAAGACAGGAGAGGGAAGCGGAAUUCCCGGUGUAGUGGUGAAAUGCGUAGAUAUUGGGAGGAACACCAGUGGCGAAGGCGGCUUUCUGGCCUGUUCUUGACGCUGAGGCGCGAAAGCUAGGGGAGCAAACGGG
rnacentral:rRNA from 1 species